GACGAACGCUGGCGGCGUGCUUAACACAUGCAAGUCGAGCGGAAAGGCCCUGCUUGCAGGGUACUCGAGUGGCGAACGGGUGAGUAACACGUGGGUGAUCUGCCCUGCACUUCGGGAUAAGCUUGGGAAACUGGGUCUAAUACCGGAUAGGAACCAUCUUUAGUGUGGUGGUUGGAAAGUUUUUUCGGUGUAGGAUGAGCUCGCGGCCUAUCAGCUUGUUGGUGGGGUAAUGGCCUACCAAGGCGGCGACGGGUAGCCGGCCUGAGAGGGUGUACGGCCACAUUGGGACUGAGAUACGGCCCAGACUCCUACGGGAGGCAGCAGUGGGGAAUAUUGCACAAUGGGCGCAAGCCUGAUGCAGCGACGCCGCGUGGGGGAUGAAGGCCUUCGGGUUGUAAACUCCUGUCGCUAGGGACGAAGCUUUGUUGUGACGGUACCUAGAGAAGAAGCACCGGCUAACUACGUG
rnacentral:rRNA from 1 species